rnacentral:rRNA from 1 species
GACGAACGCUGGCGGCGUGCUUAACACAUGCAAGUCGAACGGAAAGGCCCUGCUUUUGUGGGGUGCUCGAGUGGCGAACGGGUGAGUAACACGUGAGUAACCUGCCCUUGACUUUGGGAUAACUUCAGGAAACUGGGGCUAAUACCGGAUAGGAGCUCCUGCUGCAUGGUGGGGGUUGGAAAGUUUCGGCGGUUGGGGAUGGACUCGCGGCUUAUCAGCUUGUUGGUGGGGUAGUGGCUUACCAAGGCUUUGACGGGUAGCCGGCCUGAGAGGGUGACCGGCCACAUUGGGACUGAGAUACGGCCCAGACUCCUACGGGAGGCAGCAGUGGGGAAUAUUGCACAGUGGGCGGAAGCCUGAUGCAGCAACGCCGCGUGCGGGAUGACGGCCUUCGGGUUGUAAACCGCUUUCGCCUGUGACGAAGCGUGAGUGACGGUAAUGGGUAAAGAAGCACCGGCUAACUACGUG